rnacentral:rRNA from 1 species
AGCGAACGCUGGCGGCAGGCUUAACACAUGCAAGUCGAGCGGGCAUCCUUGUGGUGUCAGCGGCAGACGGGUGAGUAACGCGUGGGAACGUGCCCUUCGGUUCGGAAUAACUCAGGGAAACUUGAGCUAAUACCGGAUACGUGCGAGAGCAGAAAGGUUUAUCUGCCGAAGGAUCGGCCCGCGUCUGAUUAGCUAGUUGGUGAGGUUACGGCUCACCAAGGCGACGAUCAGUAGCUGGUCUGAGAGGAUGAUCAGCCACACUGGGACUGAGACACGGCCCAGACUCCUACGGGAGGCAGCAGUGGGGAAUAUUGGACAAUGGGGGCAACCCUGAUCCAGCCAUGCCGCGUGAGUGAUGACGGCCUUAGGUUUGUAAAGCUCUUUUCUCCGGGACGAUAAUGACGGUACCGGAGGAAUAAGCCCCGGCUAACUUCGUG